ACGAACGCUGGCGGCGUGCUUCACACCUGCAAGUCGAACGGAAAGGCCCUGCUUUUGUGGGGUGCUCGAGUGGCGAACGGGUGAGUAACACGUGAGUAACCUGCCCUUGACUUUGGGAUAACUUCAGGAAACUGGGGCUAAUACCGGAUAUGAGCUCCUGCUGCAUGGUGGGGGUUGGAAAGUUUCGGCGGUUGGGGAUGGACUCGCGGCUUAUCAGCUUGUUGGUGGGGUAGUGGCUUACCAAGGCUUUGACGGGUAGCCGGCCUGAGAGGGUGACCGGCCACAUUGGGACUGAGAUACGGCCCAGACUCCUACGGGAGGCAGCAGUGGGGAAUAUUGCACAAUGGGCGGAAGCCUGAUGUAGCAACGCCGCGUGCGGGAUGACGGCCUUCGGGUUGUAAACCGCUUUCGCCUGUGACGAAGCGUGAGUGACGGUAAUGGGUAAAGAAGCACCGGCUAACUACGUG
rnacentral:rRNA from 1 species